GUGCUCACUUCAGCAGCACAGAUACUAAAAUUGAAAGGAUACAGAGAAAAUUAGCAUGGUCCCUGCACAGAUGACACACAAAUUUGUGAAGCACUCCAUAUUUUU
rnacentral:snRNA from 1 species